rnacentral:rRNA from 1 species
AGAAGCACUGUUCUAAAGGCACCAGAACCUAUCUGAUCUUGGAAACUAAGCAGGGUCAGCUUUGGUUAGUACCAGGCUGAGUGACUGCCAAGGAGUACCAAGUGCUGUUG